AAAUUGAAGAGUUUGAUCAUGGCUCAGAUUGAACGCUGGCGGCAGGCCUAACACAUGCAAGUCGAGCGGUAGCACAGAGAGCUUGCUCUCGGGUGACGAGCGGCGGACGGGUGAGUAAUGUCUGGGAAACUGCCUGAUGGAGGGGGAUAACUACUGGAAACGGUAGCUAAUACCGCAUAACGUCGCAAGACCAAAGUGGGGGACCUUCGGGCCUCAUGCCAUCAGAUGUGCCCAGAUGGGAUUAGCUAGUAGGUGGGGUAAUGGCUCACCUAGGCGACGAUCCCUAGCUGGUCUGAGAGGAUGACCAGCCACACUGGAACUGAGACACGGUCCAGACUCCUACGGGAGGCAGCAGUGGGGAAUAUUGCACAAUGGGCGCAAGCCUGAUGCAGCCAUGCCGCGUGUGUGAAGAAGGCCUUCGGGUUGUAAAGCACUUUCAGCGGGGAGGAAGGCGAUAAGGUUAAUAACCUUGUCGAUUGACGUUACCCGCAGAAGAAGCACCGGCUAACUCCGUGCCAGCAGCCGCGGUAAUACGGAGGGUGCAAGCGUUAAUCGGAAUUACUGGGCGUAAAGCGCACGCAGGCGGUCUGUCAAGUCGGAUGUGAAAUCCCCGGGCUCAACCUGGGAACUGCAUUCGAAACUGGCAGGCUAGAGUCUUGUAGAGGGGGUAGAAUUCCAGGUGUAGCGGUGAAAUGCGUAGAGAUCUGGAGGAAUACCGGUGGCGAAGGCGGCCCCCUGGACAAAGACUGACGCUCAGGUGCGAAAGCGUGGGGAGCAAACAGGAUUAGAUACCCUGGUAGUCCACGCCGUAAACGAUGUCGAUUUGGAGGUUGUGCCCUUGAGGCGUGGCUUCCGGAGCUAACGCGUUAAAUCGACCGCCUGGGGAGUACGGCCGCAAGGUUAAAACUCAAAUGAAUUGACGGGGCCCGCACAAGCGGUGGAGCAUGUGGUUUAAUUCGAUGCAACGCGAAGAACCUUACCUGGUCUUGACAUCCACAGAACUUUCCAGAGAUGGAUUGGUGCCUUCGGGAACUGUGAGACAGGUGCUGCAUGGCUGUCGUCAGCUCGUGUUGUGAAAUGUUGGGUUAAGUCCCGCAACGAGCGCAACCCUUAUCCUUUGUUGCCAGCGGUUAGGCCGGGAACUCAAAGGAGACUGCCAGUGAUAAACUGGAGGAAGGUGGGGAUGACGUCAAGUCAUCAUGGCCCUUACGACCAGGGCUACACACGUGCUACAAUGGCAUAUACAAAGAGAAGCGACCUCGCGAGAGCAAGCGGACCUCAUAAAGUAUGUCGUAGUCCGGAUUGGAGUCUGCAACUCGACUCCAUGAAGUCGGAAUCGCUAGUAAUCGUAGAUCAGAAUGCUACGGUGAAUACGUUCCCGGGCCUUGUACACACCGCCCGUCACACCAUGGGAGUGGGUUGCAAAAGAAGUAGGUAGCUUAACCUUCGGGAGGGCGCUUACCACUUUGUGAUUCAUGACUGGGGUGAAGUCGUAACAAGGUAACCGUAGGGGAACCUGCGGUUGGAUCACCUCCUUACCUUAAAGAA
rnacentral:rRNA from 1 species